rnacentral:rRNA from 1 species
AUUGAACGCUGGCGGCAUGCUUUACACAUGCAAGUCGAACGGUAACAGGCCGCAAGGUGCUGACGAGUGGCGAACGGGUGAGUAAUGCAUCGGAACGUGCCCAGUCGUGGGGGAUAACGCCGCGAAAGCUGCGCUAAUACCGCAUACGCUCUACGGAUGAAAGCGGGGGACUCGCAAGAGCCUCGCGCGCCUGGACCGGCCGAUGUCAGAUUAGGUAGUUGGUGGGGUAAAGGCUCACCAAGCCGACGAUCUGUAGCUGGUCUGAGAGGACGACCAGCCACACUGGGACUGAGACACGGCCCAGACUCCUACGGGAGGCAGCAGUGGGGAAUUUUGGACAAUGGGCGCAAGCCUGAUCCAGCAAUGCCGCGUGCAGGAAGAAGGCCUUCGGGUUGUAAACUGCUUUUGUACGGAACGAAACGGUCCUGGUUAAUACCUGGGGCUAAUGACGGUACCGUAAGAAUAAGCACCGGCUAACUACGUGCCAGCCGCCGCCGUAACAC